ACUUUUUCGUCGUGAGGCAUUCAUAAGCUUUCGCCCCUCCGGGCUCAUCUCCGGGGAUUCUCAAGACCCCAGCACGCCCCAUUCUUCCUUGCUUGGCUCACGACUUCCCCGAGCUCCGGGAUGCGGUGUCCCACCUCCGUCCACCCCCUCAGUUCUACUCCAGAGCGCUUCACGUCUGCCUUUGGAGCCACCUUCUCCAGGAGGCCUCCCCGCCAGCCUCCCUAUUUCCCACUUUUGCGCAUCUUUGGUCUCUGGAACGUGAAACGGAUUACAAGACAGGAAGUGCCACUUAUUUUCCCAGGCCGAGGGCUGGGGCCCGCAUUGGGUUCAGGGCUGGCAGCGACCGGGGCUGGAGAGACUGAGGUCCAGAGAGGGUCCAGUACUCGGCUGCCUGCCUCUGGCGCUGCGCUUCCAGGCCCGUGGGUCGCUGGGUGAUUUCGAGUUGGCCUCUCUCCACAGCCGGUGCUUCGAGCUCUGUUUAUUCGCCUCUAGAGUGGGGCGCCCUCUGAGCGCGUCUUCUUAUGAAACAAACUCAGAUGGCUGCCUUGCCUCUUUCCGAGGGCUCGAUCUAGCACCAUAGAGACUAGAGGUGUGGUGACAGCGGCCAGGAUGGGCGGAGGGGAGUGGAUCAACAUGAAUAGAAGGAGUGGCUGUGUCCGGUGGAGAGACCGAGAGGGCUGCGCGUCUACACUCAGGAAGCAGAGCUUGCAGCGGCUUGCACGAAAUCUGAUUCCAGGCGUCUGCUGACCAGCAGGUGCCCUGGAGUUUCUGAGGACCUGCUGGGGUUUCCCUCCUUACAGCGCAGGAAGCUCCAGUUCCUGACUGCUGUUGGGGUGGGCUUGAGGAGAGCCGGUAAAGAAUGAGCACUCUGGCCCCUCCUGGGUUCCUCUUACUUGUGGUGUACCCUGGCUGUCUACUUUCCCUCCUUUCUCUCUUCCAGCAUUCCGUCACCCCUCACCUCCUCCUCUCCCCUCUUUUGUCGACCUUCUUUCAAUGGUCCUCUAUGAACCACUGGCUAUGCCCUGGAUCCUGUGCUAUGCACUGGUGGCAUAGAGGUGGAUACGUCUGAGGCCCUCCCUUAACAGAGGAGGACCUGGGUAGUUAUUGCUCUCCCUACAGUUUCCACCUCCUUUUCAUUAAUCAGGGAGCUUCCCAACAUGUGGGGACUGGAAGUGCCUCUGCUCUGGUCUUUCUGGGGUUUGGACCCAACCACUCAGUGAGGGGAGUGUUUGAAUGAUGGCUGGCCAGUUCCUCAACUGUCAGUACUCCUGGGGGGCAACACUGUUUGCUCAGGACUUAGCUUCUGCUUAUGAUCCUGUGUACCACCUUUCAUGCUUCAGUACCCAGCAGGGCAGUUGAAUCAUGUCUUUAUUCUGAGGAAUCACCUCCGCUGGUGCGGCACCCAGGAGCCCUUAAUGUGAACAGCGAAUCUGUGCAUCUUGGCUCUCAUAACCACCACCACCCCUUUCACACACACAUUGCCUAGCCAGCUGCAGGAUGCUGGUAUCUCACUGGUGCUGUGAUAUCCUCCUGGCCUGUUGAAGUUCUCCUGUUCUCUCUGAGAUCAGUGUUCUCAGGUACUUGAGAGAGUACUGAGAGGGAUGAGGACUGGGGAAUAGGAGGGAUCCCACUUUGCCAUGUGACUGUUACCAGGUGGCUGUUGGACAGGGUAAGAAGGGAGAGAGAGAGAAUCUUAAGGUCAUCAGUGAGAACGGGAUAGCCUGUCUACACGAAUCCCCUCUUCAAUUGAGGGCUGGAUGGCUGGGCUGGAGCAGAGAGGGAGACUAAUAGUGCCUCCUUGUGUCCUUGUAGUUCUCCUCCCAGGAAAGGGAAAGUGACUCAGGGAGAAUAGUUUUGCAGUAGAUUCUUUGCAAUGAAAAUCAUUUCUUUGUUCUUUCAGAAUUGUUCCUCUGGGGGAUCCACCCUUCCUUACCUGUCUGAGGUCCCAAAACAUAUUCAGAAGUGAAAAGAGCAGAGAAGAGAAAAUAGCAGAAAUAAACAAAAACCUAAAAAAAUUCAACCAAGGCUAAACUUGACCAUGCUUCAACUAAUUGCUCCAAAAUGUCUUGUCCUGUGUUCUCAGACACUGGGGAAACCAAACAUGGACUCACUCUUGGGGAGUUCUGAUGAGGAAGCCAUUUUUUGCUUACUCAGGUGACCCGAGGAGGCUUCUGAGAGGGGAGGAAGUGGAGGUGGGAGAGACAGGCUACAGGGAGUGGAAGUAGUUACGUGGGAUGUCUGUUCCCUACCUCCCUACACUGUGCCAAGUCUGAGCUCCUCUAGUGGCCUUACAGUACAGACAGGGGAGGUGGGCCACAGACACGUCCUGCUCCCAGUCCCCGGGUCCUUCUGCAUUUUCUGAGUGUUUUGUUCAGAGUUCUCCCCACCUGGAUUCCUGGCAUUUCCCCCCAGACUUUGGUUCAAGCUCCCGCCUCCCUCCUGCUUUUCAGAAUCACAGGGGUUCAGAGGAUGCAGGAAGUGGGGGAAAAGAGAUGGAGACAGAAUCACUUGCCAUCCCCCGUGACAACAGGCACAGCACAAGGGAAUCUGCAGUUACUCAUUGGGAGCCUGCCUGGCUUCCUGCCUGCCUCAUCCCUGCAGUGUGUGCCACCCUCGCCUCCUCCAGUCCUUCAGCCCCUCUCAGAAUCAUGCACACACUGUCUUAAAGAUCCUGCAUAGGAACUCAAAGGUGGCAAGGUUCUUCAGUAGAGUGAGAAGGGUGGGGACCUAGAGUGGCCUUGACCUGCAUAAUGAAGGUCAGAGGAAAUGACCUGACCAGGGGGAGUCACCACUCCAGGAUUCUCCAUUCACAUUACUGUUAGGAUACAGGCAAGCUUUGCCUUCUCUGGAUUUCUGGACCAACACCUUAAAGCCUAUAUUCAUGGAAUGGGUCUGGCAGCUCCAGGGUUAUGGGGUGCUUACUACCUCCCCAGGCUGUUCCUUAUUUUGGGGGCCAUUUCUUUCUGUGUGUAGGUGUAUUUUAACUCCAACUUGUGAUUUAGUGGCGGGUAGGAGAUCCCUUUGGUAAUAGCAUGGAUUUUGUUCAUUCAUUCACCUCUCACAUAUCACCUAUCCUGGUCUGGCCUUGUGAUGGGGCUAGGGAUUUGAGAAUCACUUAGGCACAUCCCCGUCAGGAGAUUCUAGCAUUGCUUGGGCAGGGGUUAGGGAGGAACUCUUGCUAUUGCUAAAAGUGCAUUUAGGAAGAAAACAAAGUUCAUGAAGUACAGGUGAUAAAGAAAGAAUUGUUCAGACUGCCAGAUACAGAAAUAAAGCCCAGGGACCAGUUCUGGAAAGGCCAAUCAUUGAUCCUGAAGAAUGGGGCUUAGAGAUGUGUGGGGGAAAGGGAGUGUCAACUAUAGGUGCCUCAGUUUAGCUUGUCCUGGGAGCUUGUCCUGGAAGUUUAUUGGAUGGCAGGGGGACCCUAUGAAAGAUAGAGAAGAAAGAAGAAUUGGGCAGAGAGAUCCUUGGACUGUUGUACAGAUCUGAAAGUAAAUUUCUGCCAACCCAGUUGUGAGUCCCUGAACAAAGAUUGCACAUAGAAGCCUUAGUCACUCUACUGUACUUGGUCAAUGGUUGGGGUUGUCAAGAAGAACAUAGUCAUGGUUUAAAUGCUGUGGUAGGCCCUGAAGGUAAUAGAGCUAAGGCUGUCACAUGGCAUGCCCUAUGGCUAAAUGGCACAGGAAAUCCUACAGUGGGGAAACUGAGGCUUGGGAAAUGAAACAGGGAGGGGAGAUUCUGUCCUGCUCUAGGGGAUAAAGAAAGAGGAGAACUUGGUCUGCCCUUGGGAGCUCUUAGUCUAGGCACAGAGAAGAAUGACCUGAGAAUUCCUUUCCUCACAAUCCUGGGCUCAGUUUGGUUCAGGGGUCAGCAGUCUAUCACCAGGCAGCUUGGCAUGAGAGUCAUGGUGCCGUGAGUCUGGGAGACUGAAGAGGGAGGGACUGCUCCCUCCCAUUUACUCUCCAAUGACAUCCACAGACUCUGGCCAAAUGCUUACUGCAGCAGAGUGAAGGAUGGGUUCUAGGACCGGGACCAAGCCAAUGGCUGGAAGACUGGGAGAAAAAGCAAGAGACCUGGACUAAGUUGGGAGAGCCUGAUUCAGGUUCUGCCUUUGUCCUACACCCUCAGGACCAUGUGUCCUGCAAAGAGGCCUUGGAGUUCCUGGGGCCUGACUGUGGCCACAGGCAAAUAAUGAAAUGCUCCUUCUUGUCUCAUUUAUUACUCUGAUUGCCAUCAGAGUCCCAGCCCCAUGCUUUUCCCUCUCACAUCUUUGGGAACAUGCGUCUGCUCACUUCAUGGACACAAAGCCAUUUUAGGAUCGCAAGGUUGUCUCUAGGAUAAUCGCUGAUGGCCACCCACAGGUGGCAAGGUCAUCUUUAUCUGAGGCCACCUGCACACUCCAGUAGCUUGCUGAGGACCUCUGGCUUCUCCAUGGCACCCACACUCCAAGCUCAACAUUUGGAUUGACUAUUAUUAUUUUUUAAUUCAUUAAAAAAACCUCAAAAUGUAUGAAGUGAAUACAACACUAUCAUGAACUCCUGUCCACCUACCUCUCGGUGUGUUUCUUCUUGUCCCCUCCCCGAUCACGAUCAUUUUGAAUCAAAUUACAGAUCUGUCACUUUUUCUGUAUUUCAGUAUGGACCUCUAAAGGUUAAGGAUGCUUAAAAAAAGUAACCACAAUAUCAUUACACACAAGAUCCUUUUCACACCCAUUAAGAGCAUUUCACACCUUAAGAGCAUUAAAUGAUGUCAUUAUUUAAUUUUCCUUCCUUGACUUAUGAUGUUUUUAUUUUUUUUAACCAGUUUGUUGGAGUAAGAUCCACACACUAGAAUUUUAUAUAGAGACUACCCUUUAUCUCUCUGCUUAUGCCUCUCUUUUCCUUCCAUUUUCUCUUUUGAAGAAAAUGGGGUCAUUGGCCCCCUACAUUAGCAUUCUACAAUGGGAUUCUGCAGGCUGCAUCCCUGCAGUGUUAUUUAAGCCAUUUCUCUCGGAGCUUAGUUUAAAACAUCAGUGAGAUCUUGGUGCUCUAUAGUGCACAAAGACCCCCAGUGAUCCCUCUGUCACUCCCUUUCCCUCUCUUGUCUUCUGCUCCCCCUCCAGUCACACUGAUCUCCUGCUGUCCCAUGAACUUAUUCCUAGACCAACUCUUACUUUUGGGUCUGCAUGGUGUUUCUUCUCUGCUUGGAGUGCUCUCUCCCACAGGUAUCCCGUGGCUCCCUACCUCUUUUCGGAAGCCCUGGCUUCACCUUAAUACUGUAAACUGCAAACUGCUCCCUCCCCUGGACUCCUAAACUCUCUCACCUUACUUAUUUUAUUUUAUUUUUUAAGCUCUGAUCCUCUUCUAAGGCACCAUGCCACUUGAUUAUCUGUGAGUUCACUUUAUUACAUUCAUUAUUUAUUUCUCUUCCCCACUAGAACAUAAGCUCUACAAGGUAGGGAUUCAGGACCACCUUUUAUUCCCAGGAUGUCUCAGGUUCCUGGAGUGGUACCUGACACACAGUAAGUCCUCUGUAUGUUACUGAAUGAAUGAAUCUUCCUAAAACCCAGGACCCACCCUGCCCUCUCACUUAGCUCUGAGGAUAACUCCUCCAGGCCCUUCUUUCCUUGGCCUUGGGGGGCUUCUCCCCACCUGGAGCCUGCAGUCCUCUGUGCACCCCAGCCUGGGCUUUACCUUUCAGGCCUCUGAACCUUUGCCUGGCCAGUUCCUUCUCCCGGGAAUGCCUUCCUUCCCACAGGUCCCAGGGGGCCUUUGUCAUGCCUGGGGCUGGAAUCCACGUCCACCACCUCUCUGGGAGGACUUUGGGGUCCUUUGCUAGAGAUGAUAGGCCCUGAGUCAGGGAAGGUUGGAGAAGUAGGAGAAAUGACUAGGGUAGGAGACUUUUCUGCUUAAAUCUAUUUCUAACUCUAGGCCUGGCUGAGCCUUUCCUGUGACCCUAGGCUCAUCCGACCUCUGAUCCUGGGCCUCCACCCAGAGUUACUCAUGACCCUAAGCUGAUUCCUGAGCACAGCCUGACCUCUAACCCUGAUCACAGAUCUCAAUCUAGACUAGCCCCUGAUCCUGAUCAUAGGCCUCAGCCCAGCGUGACCUGUGACCCCAGGAUGUCCUUGACUCUGAUCACAGGCCUCAGUCCAGCUGACUUCUGACCCCAUGGUGAUCCCCUAACCUUGA